AAGUCUUUCGCUCCUAUCUGACG
rnacentral:piRNA from 1 species